CGUAGGUGGCAAGCGUUGUCCGGGAAUUAUUGGGCGUAAAGCGCGCGCAGGCGGCUUCUUAAGUCCAUCUUAAAAGUGCGGGGCUUAACCCCGUGAUGGGAUGGAAACUGAGAGGCUGGAGUAUCGGAGAGGAAAGUGGAAUUCCUAGUGUAGCGGUGAAAUGCGUAGAGAUUAGGAAGAACACCGGUGGCGAAAGGCGACUUUCUGGACGACAACUGACGCUGAGGCGCGAAAGCGUGGGGAGCAA
rnacentral:rRNA from 1 species